AUGUCUGCUGCCCCUGGUGGAGGGUCUGCAGAGGGAGUGGCGCAGCUGGCUGAAUGGGGCGUGAACCAUCUGUCCCCCAAUGUGGGGAAGACCCAAACUCCAGAGUCAGCAGCACAAAAUAUUUGGGGUGCAUACCACAGAGGAUCUUACCUGGACCACCAACACCAUGCCAAGCACAACAGUGCCUACACUUUCUCCGCCAGCUCAGAAGAGCAAGUCUCUGUUCAGUCGCCGCUGUUAGGUUCUGAUCCGAGGUUCUACCAGCUGACUGUUUCUUAAUGAUCUCAGAGCUCUGGUGGGUGUAUGUACAGGAAGGAGAUCUGACAUGUAUUCUGGCCCCGUGCCAUUGAGUGAUUUAUAAACUAGUAGGAGCACUUUGAAAUUUAUUCUGUAGUUCACUGGUAACCAGUGUAGAUAUUCCAGAACAGGAGAAAUGCACUCGGUUCUCUUGGUUCUUGUUAAGACUCUAGCAGCAGCCUUCUGAAUAAGCUGCAGUUGCUUCACAGCAUUUUUUGGGAAGACCAGUCAAUAGUCCAGCCUGCUGGAGAUGAACGCAUGAAUGAGUUUCUCUAAGUCUUGUCUGGACAUGAGACCUCUGAAUCUUCCUACUUGAUGUAGUUAUAGCCUUAAUGUGACCAGUGAAGCUCAGGUCUGAAUCAAAUAUGACACCAAGAUUUCUAACCUGGGUCCAAGUUAAGCGUUAACCUCCAUCCUAGCCUUCUUCUUUGCAAAGACAAUAACUUCAGUCUUGUCCUUGUCUUACUGGAGGAAGUUUGACUGCAUCCAGUCAGUAACUUGCUCCAAACACUGACAGAGUGAGUCUAGGGGACCACAGUCACUAAGCGAUAGAGCUAGGUACAUCUGGGUGUCAUCUGCAUAACUCUGCAAUAGCUAAUGUUGUUAUUGCAUAUGGCCUGGCCCGGGGGGGAGUGGGGGAGGGCAUGUAGAUUGAAGAGCAAUGCUCCAAGAAUUGAGCCUUGGGGGACCCCACAUGUCACGGUGAUCAGCUUUGAUUUGUGAUCACCAGUAGCAACAACGUAAACCCUCUCUUCAAGAUGACAUUGGAACCAACUCUGGACUGUGCCUGAGUCCCACCCAGCUUGUGAUCCUAUUGAGAAGGAUGUUGUGGUCCACAGUAUCAAAAGCUGCACUGAGAUCGAGCAUCAUUAGGACUGAUGUUUUACCUGAAUCUGUAUUUAUCUGUAUUUAUUUACUUCAUCAGUACCGUUUUAGUGCUGUGAUGUUUUCCAAAGCCUGACUGGAAACCAUCUAGCAGGUUGUUCGUCUCCAGUAAGUUGUGUAGAGCAUUUGUGACAUCACAAAUUGGAACUUUAAGAAAUUGCUCAUUUUAGGCAGAUAAUUCCUAAAGAUCAAACGCUGACAGGAAACUAAUGCUUACAGAGGAAGUGGGGACCCACAUGGCAUCACAGAAUGAUGUGAAAUGUUAAGUUAGAAUGAAAUAAUUGGUUUUUAAUGGAAAAAGUCACAUGAUGACAAAAUAAAACAAACGUCUGGCUUUAGUAACAGUUAUCUGAGUAUAUUUGAGUGACUGUAAGUUGGGACUUCUGACUCAUAUAAACUCAUUCACUGCCAAUGACGACUAAAGUCGCCAUUUGCAUUUUUUUACUGUUUGGGCAUCGGAACGAGCCCCCGCGCCGAGAGAAAACACAUCUCAGCUCUGAAGCCGAACUUCAUCCGCAUACGUCGCACGUCACGCAAUCAGGAAGCGGAACAUCCAUGUGUUAGGAGAUCGUUUUGGGCCGCUGCUGUAAAAAAGUGAGGCGCGAACCGGAAAAGCUUCUGCCGAUCACAAUUCAACAACGGAUUAUGAAAGAACGGAUAACGCUCGAAACGCGCAGAUUCUUCCUGAUGUAAGAGGUGAGUCUCCGCUUUGUUUUGGUUGUUUUUGCGUCGACAUCAUCCUAACGUGCAACGUUGUGUGACUCUUAAAAAAACAGUAAAAACGGUGAGAAACGCUGGCAGCGAAGGCCGUUAGCGAUCAGGAAACGGCUGGCAGUGAAUGAGUUAAUGACAAAUGCAAACUUUAUAACAGCAGCUGUUUGACAAAAGAGAAUUUAAACAUUCAGAAAAAUAACCUGCAAUUUUUUGUCCUUCAAGUCAAUUAAUAACUGUAAUUUAUCUGCAAAUGAGAACAAAAGUAUUUAGUAUAAAACUGCAAAUAAAACGCUGCUUUCUUUUCAUUUUUCUAACUCGUUGAUGCUGAUGAACACAAAGUCGUGGAGAAACCGGCAGCAGUUGUGAUCAGUGAGUUUUCUAGUCCGACCUCAAACCUCGGUGAUCUGAGCCUCAGUAUCUGUAUUUCUGUGGUUUGAGUCUUCAGGCCAGAAAACCGCGUUUGAAAAGCAGCAAUUAGAAUUUCAAUGAGUUAAAGACUGUCAGCUGUGCUCUGUUCAGCCUGAGAAGUCCUUAAAUCUGGCGGCUGCAGCCAUCCAUCUCUGUCCUCGGCCUCCUCAGCAGAAAGACGGAUGCAUUCAAUAAAUGUGUUCUUGAGAAAUCUGCAGGAAAUGAUUAAGAGUGAUAAAUGGGGAUGCGGGAAAUUUGCAGGAGACUGUUUCAUUUGACACCCAUUACAUCAUCAUCGGAGGAAGCAAAGUGAGCUUCUUGAAGAUGCCAGCAGCUUCAGGAGAAAAACAUGUCUGCUGCUCACGUUUGAAGCCGGAAACGAUGUUUCUUUGAAGCCAUUUUCUGGAAAAAACCCCAGAUAAUAAUAGGAGGUUUGUGAUUAAUGUUUCAUUGAAUGUGUUAAAAAUCUUGCAGCUAAUUAGGCAACAAAUUGUCACAUUCUCAAACGCAUGAAAGCAGAAAGUUUCACUGAGAGCCUGACACUUAAGAGAGCUGCUUAUCGGAGAGGUUUAAUGUGAGAAGCCCGGGCGGCUGACAGAGUCGCUGCGGAGAGGGUGAAACCAGACGGGAGGCUGGAUCAGGGCCGUGCUUGUCACCCUGUUACUGCGUUCUCACACCAGAUUACUGAAGCGGGGCGGGGGAGUGCACCUUGUUGUUCAGCCUCCAGAGAAAUGACUCCACCUGCAGCCUGAGCGUUUAAGCCCGUCUGGCUUUAAUGUUCUCUCUGUGACAGCGGCGGUUCUGACGUCUCUUUGAGAGUCGCUCUCUGGUCAGAGGUGUAUUAAAGAUGCUUUGAUUUUCCUUGAGAGCAACAUAAAUGUCAUUUAUUCUGUUAAUGUUCGUCUGGGUUUGAGACGAUGCUCCAGAAAACACUCGGCCUGCGUCAGCCUUCGGGGGGAGGCGAUGCUUCCCGGGGGACUUAUUAAUUCUCCAGCCGUAGCCGGGCUUGAUUGAUUUAAAGUCUAUUCUUAGUUGGCAUUUAGCUUAGUGCUAAAUGAUUUUCAGCUCAAACUGUCUCUCUGCUCUCGCCGGCGUCUCUCCCUCAGUGCCCCCCCUCAUCUAUUUUCCAUCUUCGCCGUCCUCUUGCACCUCUUCCUCUCUGCCUUGCUUCCUAAUUGGGUCUCUUUCCUUUUUCUCCUUUCUCCUCCCUUCAUCAGUUCUGAUUCCUGGGUGGGAAAAGGCGGCGUCUCGGGCUGAGAACAGCUGCCCCUCCAACUGUUCAAGCAUGGAUAGAUCUUGUUAGAGUCAGACAAACUACUCCUUAAACAGGCCGUCACGUGUGCACGACCCUUCCACCAUCUCCGUUUAGAAGUUUAGGGAUGAACUGCUCCCCCAGUGAGCUUCACUUGAUUGCUCAUCUUAGCAGGACGAGCUGCAGGCAGAGAGCAGCGCUCUUCACACGGAUGUGCAACGAGAGGAUCCCAGGAUUUGGGUAGAUGCAUAAACUCCAUUCCGCUCUACGAUGCAUUAAAGACGGAGACAGACUGAACGGAAAUCUGCUGCUUUAAAAUGUUGAUCAGUUGGGAUUAUCCUGCUAUGUGGUCCAUUUCUGGUUCGUUUCAUGUUUUUGUUUGAACCUCGGGCUUUCAUUGGCUCAUUUUAACCUGACAACCAAAAAGUCAAGGUUAUUCAGAAAAACACAAACCGUCUCCUGUAUUGCAGCAGUGUCACUUGUUUUUUUUACAUGCCAGGGUUUUGUAAGACCAGAUGUAUGGUGGCCUACGUGGUUCAACAACUUCAGCUACAACAGAAGUAAUAGUAAACUGGAACUGCAAGCAGUUAUCAAUGGGUUCCCAGCCGACCAGCGCCAGUCCCCCACCGGGCCCCGCCCUCGCCAUCCCUCACGUGGCCCCGCCCCAACAAAACGUUCUGCUGCUGGCGCCCCGUCAGCUCACUUCAGCUGGCGCAAUGAAAGGAACACUCAGGAUAACUCAUUGAAGCUUUUGCGCAGCCUAUACAAAAAUCUUUCAUAGACAUGGCUAACAUCUCCCUGAUCCAGUUCCAUCGUUUAAUUUUUAAAGAUGGUGGAGAAUUAGUCAUUUAAGUCAUGUGCUGUAUGGGACAGCAGUAGGUCAGGAGGUGGAGCGGGUUUUCCAGGAAUCAGAAGGAUGCGUGCUCGAUCCCAACUCUGACCAGAGAAUGCUGCCUCGUUUCUCGGUGCCCCCCAGGGCAGCUGUGGCUACAGUGUAGGUCAUGCACACCAGUGUGUGACUGUGUGUGUGAAAGACUGAUUGUGUUGUUUAAUGCCUUGGAGGGUUGUUGAACCCUACUAACGCGCUGUACGAAUAUUUCAAUAUUACCGACAAAGUUUAUUAAAUUCAUUAAAAACGUAUUCUUUUCAAAGAAAUUUCCAAAAUAUUCUUGGAUCAUCAUGGGGUCAAGACUCUCUGCCUGUGUGUUGGGGUUUACCCCGGGGGACGAGAGGGUAGCUUCCCUGCGCCUUCGGGUCGGGGAACGGGUCCUGACUGUUGUUUGUGCUUAUGGGCCAAAUAUCAGUUCAGAGUACCCACCCUUUUUGGAGUCCCUGGGACGAGUGCUAGAUAGUGCUCCAUCAGGGGACUCCAUUGUCCUGCUGGGGGACUUCAAUGCUCACGUGGGCAAUGACAGCUUGACCUGGAGGGGUGUGAUUGGGAGGAACGGCCCACCU
ensembl:lncRNA